GAGAGAGAGAGAGAGAGAGACUGCAGUGUCAGUGAAAGAUGGCAGGCCAGCAGCCCUGGUACUUAUCCAUACUCAACUUUCAAAUCGGUUAGUGGGACACAUUUAGCACUGCCUUCUGGAUAAUAGGAACAGCUGUAGCCAGUAUGGCUUCGGAAACAGCCAAACCACUGUUGAGAACAUUAGAAUUUGUCAAUUUUCAAAAUUAGAAUGAAAUAAAAGUACAAACGAAUCAAUCUGUAAAGAACGAUAGAAACGUUUACCGUGCUUUUAAUCCUCAAAAUGUUUUGCAACUAGUCUCAGCUGGGUGAGUGUUAUCCCUCAUUGUACAGGUGGGCAAACUGAGGCAGAGAGGGGCAGCGAUAUGCCAAGCUGAUUGGAAAAAUGGCAAAAAAUCCCAUCAUUUUUUCCCAUAAAACAAAUGUCGUCAUAAUUUUAAAUCUUUGCAAACCACUUCCUAGUGGUAGUGCUAUGCUGAAGGGAAGCAGCACUUAUACGGCCUGCUCUGUGUGUUGGUGGGAUGGAGCGUGUACCCGACACAGGCUAUGCAUGGGUUAAAUGUGGCUGUGAGGCCAGUUCUGUUAGUGGGCUGCACCUGGAGGCUUAAUUGAUUAUGAGGCCCAGCUGGGCAGAAGCAGCCUGGCUUGUACAAGGAGAAGAAGUUUGUAGCAGAAGGGGGCUGUAAUGGGGGUGUCUGUAGCCACCAUCUGGGAGCAGACAAAUGGUGAGGAGGAAACCCGGGGUGAAUAAACCCUGACUCCUAGCCCUGGAAGAAGGGCCAACCCAGAGAAGUUGUGGGGAAAGGGAGCCUGGGAGAGGCUGGGUAGGAAGGAACCCAGGGAAACAACAGCAAGGAGGGGGAUGGGGCAGACCGUGGCUGCUGGUUAUAGGCUCCCUGGGCUGGAACCCUGUGUAGAGGGAGGGUCUGGCUUCCUUACCAGCCACUGACCAAAGAGGCAUGAGCCCAGAGCCCGGGCUGGAGACCUGACACAACGGCUAGGAAUUACUUGUUGGACUUUAUCAUCAAAUAUCGACAAACAUCGUCGCCUGGCUGGCGGGAAGCGAGGCCGCCACGGCACCGGAACGACUGUCAGCAGGGGGCACCGUAUGGGGAGAGAGCUGCUACGCCACCCCUGGCUCCUGCGCCUGUCUAGCUGCCAAUCUGUGUUCCCAAAAGGGAAGAGUCCGCGUUCUCCCUCCUUCCACCCGGCAUUAGAUCAGUACACAGAGUGUGCCAGUUUUCCAAUGGUUGGCCGACAGUAAAUUCGUGGUUCAAUGAUUCCUGACUAGGCCCUGGUGCAAAGUGAUGCCCUGCCCUGCCCCGGACCAGCAUCACAGCUGGGCUAGCUCUGAACUGAGAAAAUGGAUGUUGUGUGCUGAUGAAAGCACAGACUGGAGAAGGACAGGUUGUGCGAGAGCUGCAGAGCCAGCGUGAACAGCACCCAGAUUGCUGCAUGCAUAUCAAACACCAUCCAGAGAGCCGGUAUAUAAAUAGCAUCUUAAUGAGGAGGCGCUUGGUUUAAACAGGCGUGCAUUGUUCCAAUGGGCUGACUCAACCAAGGACAGCGUAGGCUGUGGAGACAGAGCCCCCUUCCAAACCCUAAUGAUGACCCUUGCGAGUCGAGGGUGGAGGCACAGCUCUAGCUCCAGCGCUA